GAUGAACGCUGGCGGCGUGCCUAAUACAUGCAAGUCGAGCGAACGGACGAGAAGCUUGCUUCUCUGAUGUUAGCGGCGGACGGGUGAGUAACACGUGGAUAACCUACCUAUAAGACUGGGAUAACUUCGGGAAACCGUAGCUAAUACCGGAUAAUAUUUUGAACCGCAUGGUUCAAAAGUGAAAGACGGUCUUGCUGUCACUUAUAGAUGGAUCCGCGCUGCAUUAGCUAGUUGGUAAGGUAACGGCUUACCAAGGCAACGAUGCAUAGCCGACCUGAGAGGGUGAUCGGCCACACUGGAACUGAGACACGGUCCAGACUCCUACGGGAGGCAGCAGUAGGGAAUCUUCCGCAAUGGGCGAAAGCCUGACGGAGCAACGCCGCGUGAGUGAUGAAGGUCUUCGGAUCGUAAAACUCUGUUAUUAGGGAAGAACAUAUGUGUAAGUAACUGUGCACAUCUUGACGGUACCUAAUCAGAAAGCCACGGCUAACGACGUGC
rnacentral:rRNA from 1 species